rnacentral:rRNA from 1 species
UGGGGAAUAUUGCACAAUGGGCGGAAGCCUGAUGCAGCGACGCCGCGUGGGGGAUGAAGGCCUUCGGGUUGUAAACUCCUUUCGACAGGGACGAAGCUUUUGUGACGGUACCUGUAUAAGAAGCACCGGCUAACUACGUGCCAGCAGCCGCGGUAAUACGUAGGGUGCGAGCGUUGUCCGGAAUUACUGGGCGUAAAGAGCUCGUAGGUGGUUUGUCGCGUUGUCUGUGAAAUUCCGGGGCUUAACUCCGGGCGUGCAGGCGAUACGGGCUGACUUGAGUGCUGAAGGGGAGACUGGAAUUCCUGGGGUAGCGGUGAAAUGCGCAGAUAUCAGGAGGAACACCGAUGGCGAAGGCAGGUCUCUGGGCAGUAACUGACGCUGAGGAGCGAAAGCAUGGGUAGCGAACAGG